rnacentral:lncRNA from 1 species
GGCUUCCGGGGGGCGGCGCGAACGGCAAUGGCGGUCCUCUUCUGACGGGAGAGGAGGCUCCGCAGACAUCGGGUCGUCCGCUACGGCGAAGCGGAGACCCAUUUUGGAAAACCCCAGGCAGCGAGAGCCUGGGGUCUUGAGGCUCGGUGGGCGCCUUUAGCAACCCUCCAAACGCAGAAGGAACCUCGUAAGGGGCUCCGGAGCGUGGAGGGGGGUUGCGGCGCUGAGAGCUGCUUCACAGUCUGCGGAGUGAAGCCGCGCUGCUGCUGCCGGUGAGCGCUGACCCCUUUUCCUGUUAAAAUUCGGAUUCGGAUGAAAAGCAACUUACUCGUGAGUAAAGACUGAAUCACUUUAAAUUAGAGACUUUAAAUGAAAAACUUCAAUUUGGCUUGAACUUGGCUUGAACCUGGCUGAAAGCGGAGAGACGUGGAAACAGGAAGUCCGUCUUCCGCAGCCAUUGAACUUAAAAAAGCAACUAAGGUGGAGGAGUGGAGGCUGAAAGAAAGAGAUUUUAAACUCUACAGAGCCAAGCAUCUAUUGAACUUAUAACUUAAAGUAAAGACAUUAAGCUGAAGAUUUGGAACUUUUAUUUGCACUUGACUUUCCCCCUUUUAUUGGAUUACAAAUCAGAAGGUGAAACCCAGAGUCAGGAGCUGCCUGAGCAUUGAGAGAGUGAGCUGUCAGUGUUGAUUUGGAUACUGUAUAUUGGAACCUGCAACAAUCUGAGGGUACUGAGACUUUUUAAAUUUGAAACAUUCUUUUUGGAGACAAAUAAGCACUGUCUGUAACAAAGUGAUUACUUAUAAACUCUGCUAAAUAUUUAUAUUUGAAGGUUCUUGGACAUUAAAUCAGACUCUGAAAGACAUUUUAAGCUCCCUCUAGAGGAUUGGAUUAAAACAGUGACUUUACAAGUAUAUUUACUUUCGAUUCCCUUGUUGUUUGCUUGCUCUGGGCCUUUCUAUUCCCGUGGGAAAAACUCAGUGUGACCUUGACUGAUAGACAACGUUGGAAUGAGUGGCACAAGAAAAAGAGGGAGAGCUAGACAAACAACUUUAACAACUCUAACCUCAGCCUCGCAGACACGCAGAUCAUCUGUACCUACUUUGCCCUCAGAAGUACAACUUGAAGAAGUUGCCUUGUCACAGGCAAAAGAGGGAGAGGGUGAAGCAGAGCAGUUACAAUUGGAAGAUAUGGCCUCAGGAGUAUCUGUUUCUGUUCUAGAAAAAUUUUUUGAAAAAUUGGAAGCUUUGGACAAGAAAGUAGAUGCGCAAUCAGCUAAGAUUGAUAAAAAUACAGAAUGUCUAAAUAAAUUAACCAUACAAGUGGUACAGAAUACACAAGCAAUUGGACAGUUAACGGAGGCCUCAGCAGAAAAUCGGAAAUUGGCUGAGGAUACCAGACAAAAAUUGGAAAAUUUAGAGCAAGAGGUAAGACCACUCACUAAACAAGUUGGGGAACAUCAGACUUAUCUUUCUAUGAUAGAACUGCGAAAUCGUGAGAAUAAUCUGAGGAUUAGAUCACUACAAGAGGCAGAAGAAGGAAAUUUAACUGAGUUUUUGACCAAAGAAUUUUCCAAGUUCUGGAAUUUGGAAGAAAAGGAUUUUAAAAUUGUGUCAGCUUUCAGACUUGGAAGAUUCAUAAAGAAGGAGAGGCCCAGAGACUGUUUGAUUACAUUGAGAUCGAAGGAGGAAAGGGAUAAGAUUUUGGGCCUACAUUACGGAAAGUCACUGGAGGUUUUGGAUAGAAGAAUUGAGAUCUAUAAAGAUAUUCCAAGACAACUGUUGGAUCUUAGAGCCGCCUAUUCUGAGCUUGCUAAACUACUAAGGAGCAACGCAAUUCCAUUUAGGUGGGAAUUUCCCCAAGGAAUAUCUUUUACCUUUAGAGGGAGAAAGGUCAAAGUUAGAACAUUGGAAGAGAGAGACAAAUUUUUGGCUACAUACGGAGAGGACCUACAAAAAGGAAUUGAAUUACCUUCUGGGCCUGGGGCAAAGCCAGCAUUAACACCAGCACCUGGGGAACUUGAAGAUCCAGAGAAGAUACCACCCCGGGAGAAAUAACCAGAUAGAUCCAGGAUGUCUCUGCAAUUGUUGAGUUGGAACAUUAAUGGUUGUAACAUUCCGGAAAAAAGGAAGAAAAUAUUUCAUAUAUUAAAAAAAGAACAAUUGGACAUUAUCUGUUUACAAGAAACACAUGUGACGAGGCUCCACAGAAAAGUGUUAAUAAAUAAAAGAUUAGGCCAGGAAUUUGUUUCGUCGGAUAAAGUGAAGAAGAGAGGCGUGGUGAUAUAUGCAAAAGAGAGCCUGUCACCUAAAUUCCUAUUUAAAGAUGAACAUGGAAGAAUUUUGGCUAUUGAGAUACAAUAUCAAGGAGAGAAACUGUUGAUACUAGGAAUCUAUGCACCUAAUGAAGGGAAAUCGGAAUUUUACAAGAAGUUGCAGGGGACAAUGCUGGACUAUCUGGAUUACAACAACAUCAUAACGAUGGGAGAUAUGAACGGGGUCGUAUCAACCAACAUGGACAAGUCACAAAGUCAAAAUGUUACAAAAGACGGCAGACUACCUAAAACCUUUUUGAAAUGACUGACAAUAUGGAUUUGAUCGACAUUUGGAGGACAAAGAACCCACUAGGUAGAGAAGGAACAUUCUUUUCUGAAGCCCAACUGACCUGGACAAGAAUCGACCAAAUAUGGAUUUCUAGAGGCCUGGCACCUAGGGUCAGAAAAGUGGAAAUCUGCCCAAAGACCUGUUCUGACCACAAUGCAGUAAAGAUGGAUAUGACACUACUACCAACUGGAUCCUUUAGAUGGAAGAUGAAUGACAAUUUGUUUAGAGAUCAGGAAAUUACCAAGAAGGCCCAAAAAGUUUUGAAGGACUAUUUUGAGAUAAAUAUGAAUAAUUCGGUGGAAAAAAGAAUCGUCUGGGACGCAAGCAAAGCUGUAAUGAGGGGAUUCUUGAUACAACAGAAUGUAGUAAGG